rnacentral:lncRNA from 1 species
CCAUGGAAAACCCUCCCUUCGAUUGCUCAAAUUAGAAGUUAUAAUACGCAUGGAAUUGACAUCUUCCAAACUAUUGCUAAGACAAAGGAAAUUGAACUCAGGAACCCAACAAAAUACCCGGUAAAAGAAGAGGUUGGUGACGGCGGCGGAGGAGGUGGGAUUGCGGCGGGCGUGAAGGCGGCGGAAAUUGGGCCUGGAAAUGAUUGAGAGCCAUAGUUUGGAGACGCAUUGCAAGCGGAGGAGGGAUUUUGGUGGUAAGCAGAGUAGAAUUUCGGUUAAGAGGUCUUCGUUGUUGAUGAUGAACAGGGUUGAUGGAGAUGGCGGCGGCGGCAGUGGUGAGACGGCGGAAUGAAGUGGGGUGGUGCCGGAGAUUUUCGAGGUAUAAUGGGUGAGACGAAGUUGGGGUUUGUCUUCU